rnacentral:RNase_P_RNA from 1 species
UAAGCAGACUUAUCUUAUCGCCACACUCAGGUGUGGAGGAAAGUCCGGACACCAAAGAGUAAUCAUAGCGGAUAACAUCCGUCCAGCGCAAGUUGAGGACAAGUGCAACAGAAAGCAAGUACAGUUCGGCUGUAGUGAAACCAGGUAAACUCUAUGAGGUGCAAUGCCAUGUAUAUUAGAGAUUGAGGGCUACUCGCCCGAUUCUAAAGGGUAGGCAGAUAGAUUCUAAGAGUAAUUUUAGAACUAGAUAAAUGAUAAGAACCUUGUUUAAAGGUACAGAAUUCGGCUUACAAGUCUGCUUUUUUU